AAAAAAAAAAGUAAAUUAAGUUAAGGACAAGUGGCAAGUUGCUAGCCACUUCACUAAAAAAAAAUGAAAAAGAAAAGGAAGAAAGAAGAAAAGACUAGAAGAGAAGAAGAACCCAUUUCUUCAAUCCUCCUUCCUCUGCCGUGAACCAAAACAAAAUCCCUUUCUCCAUCUUUUCUUUUCUACACCAAAAUUCCUUCAAAUUUUCAUCUCCAAUCAAUUACCCAUCUUCUCCCAACACAUUUUCAAAGUAGAAUUUGAAGAAAAGAAAUGAACUCAAAGAGAAAAUUCAAGAUUGAGGGAGAGUGAAUAGUAACCAAGGGUUUGAAAAUUUAAAGGUAUGUUAGGGGUUUUGAUGUAGGGAUGUUUCUUAUUAUUUUUAUGUGACUAUUUGUGAGAAAUAUUGUAUUAAUAUGAUUUAUUGGUUUAGUUUUUUCAUGAAGAAGAAGUGGAAGGAAAGAGUGAAAACUCUAAAGGAAAAGGAAAAGAAAAGGAAGAUUAGGAAAUUUUAAGCUUGUGGAAGAUUUUGGAAGGUUAAGGUUGUGGAUCCAAGUAGCAGUAAAUCAAGAUCUGCAUCAACCCAGCCAGAGUUACAUCAUUAACUAUCUUGGGGUAUAUUUUGUAAAUUUUUAUAUGAAUUUGAUUUUAGAAAUAUGGCAUGUACAUAAAGUUUUAGAGAUGAAGUUAUAUAUGGUUGGUUUAAAUAUAUUUGAAGAUUUUAAUUUUGAUGUAAAUAUGGAUUAUUAGUAUAAGUUUUAUGUUGAGAUU